rnacentral:rRNA from 1 species
GACGAACGCUGGCGGCGUGCUUAACACAUGCAAGUCGAACGGAAAGGCCCUGCUUUUGUGGGGUGCUCGAGUGGCGAACGGGUGAGUAACACGUGAGUAACCUGCCCUUGACUUUGGGAUAACUUCAGGAAACUGGAGCUAAUACCGGAUAGGAGCUCCUGCUGCAUGGUGGGGGUUGGAAAGUUUCGGCGGUUGGGGAUGGACUCGCGGCUUAUCAGCUUGUUGGUGGGGUAGUGGCUUACCUAGGCUUUGACGGGUAGCCGGCCUGAGAGGGUGACCGGCCACAUUGGGACUGAGAUACGGCCCAGACUCCUACGGGAGGCAGCAGUGGGGAAUAUUGCACAAUGGGCGGAAGCCUGAUGCAGCAACGCCGCGUGCGGGAUGACGGCCUUCGGGUUGUAAACCGCUUUCGCCUGUGACGAAGCGUGAGUGACGGUAAUGGGUAAAGAAGCACCGGCUAACUACGUG